rnacentral:rRNA from 1 species
GACGAACGCUGGCGGCGUGCCUAAUACAUGCAAGUCGAACGCAGUGGGGACGGGUGAGUAACAAGUGGGUAACCUCCCAUCAGAGGGGAUAACACUUGGAAACAGGUGCUAAAACGAUAUUGAAGGAUGGACCCGCGGUGCAUUAGCUAGUUGGUGCGGUAACGGCUAACCAAGGCCACGAUGCAUAGCCGACCUGAGAGGGUGAUCGUCCACGCUGGGACUGAGCCACGGCCCAGACUCCUACGGUAUGCAGCAGUAGGGAAUCUUCGGCAAUGGACGAAAGUCUGACCGAGCAACGCCGCGUGAGUGAAGAAGGUUUUCGGAUCGUAAAACUCUGUUGUUAGAGAAGCGGUAUCUAACCAGAAAGCCACUGCUAACUACGUGCCAGCAGCCGCGGUAAUUC